GCUUCAUAUGUCAGCUCGGAACCGGAUUUCCCUAAAGCUGACUUUUCUGCCAAUAAUUCCAUUAUUGUGGCUGCAACACUCGAAGAACAAGAACCUGAAUUAGAAGAGAAGAGUGCCGUGGAGGAGGAAGAUUCAGAAAGUCAAGACUUGGAGAAAUCAUGAACCAACUUACAUGGGAAAAUCUGUGAAACAUGACGGUUCACGUGACCGGUGACGUACGGACUAACAACACAUCUGUGAUCACAGUAAACUUAGGGUCUUUAGUCUGUUCUAGUCGGUAGUCACUAGUAAACUAUCUAAAUGCGACCUCAACUAAACCCUCUCCGUCAUGAUUAAAAGCACUGAAUUUAAUUAUAAAUUUAUGUGAAUAUAAUUAUGAAAUUUAUAAUCAUGCACCUAAUGUUGUGAUAGUCUCAUUUACAGUGUACUGUAUAGUGAUACCGUGACUCAUAUUUGAUGUUUCUGUUGCUAUGUCAGAUUAAGUUUUGUGAUGUUUUUUUCCAGGUCUGAACUUUGGUUCCGUCAAACUAAUUUAUUACCAACCUUUUCAUCAAAAUUUGUGUUUAAAAGUCUUGCUACGAA